AUGCAUGCAUGCCAAUGUUAUAAUAUAUAUUACCAACGUCCAUAAUAGCAUUUUACAUGUAUGAAUAAUUAGAAUUAUACAAGGAUAUAAAAUUAUCCUGUCUCUAUAUAUUAUAACAUUGGCAUGCAUGCAUGCAUUCAAACCAACUUUGUUACCCUAAAACCACAUUAAUAUGCAUUUUUAUUUAUAAAUACCUCCCAAUAAAAUUUUCCCUAUAUUAAUGAAGUAAAGGAUAUAUGACAUAAAGUAGGCUAUACGGUCAAGUCAAUCAUGGCUAUUUUGUACCUAGUUCGUUGGAGCUGCAGAUGCCAAUUAGCUUCUUGCCAUGGAAAGUAAUGGUAAAAGCACGAGCACAUGAACAAGAAACAAGAAGUUUCAUGGUGAGAUGUGUAUAAUACUGCAAGGACAAUUAAAUUCUACGACACUAAAAACACAAGCAACAAAGAAAAAGAAAAAGGCCUAAACUUAAAAAUUGUUCUAUUUAUGCAUGUAAUUAUAUUUUUGAACCUUGGGGAAGGGGUUGCUGUUUACCAGGACGACCCAUCAACUGCAACUCUUGCUUAUCGUAUAUCUCCAAAGAAAAGUCCUUCAGCAGUUGAGCUUUUCCUCCACUGCUAACGCUCCCACCGCUAGAACUAGCACUUGGAGCCAUCGUCGACUUCUUCGCCUCCUUCGCCCCAACCGAUGUGCUACUCACCACUGCUGACGCUGCCCUAACCUCCACGCCACUCGGUAUAUUCACCACGCUCCCUAUAGAUGACUGAUUAUUAAUAGUAUUCGUUGCCCCCACAAACGUUGAUAUGGGCCUCGCUGCUGCCACGUUGAAUACCGACGUUAUUGACGGUGAUAAUGCCCAUAUUUGUGGCUGCUGCGUCUGGGUCGGCUGCCCAACCAGGCCAGCUGCCGCCACAAAUGCAGGAGUACCCGACAGCGUGGCGGCUUGCGGGAUCAUCCAAAAAGCAUUUGCGGGUACCAUCAUCCCUGCGCUACCCACAGCCCACAUGGGCACCAAUCCUUGAGGGGUCGCAGUCGCAGCAAAUGGAGUCGUCGGCGUCACCGGAGCAAGCCCAGAGCUCUGUGAAACGGAAACAGUUGCUUCGCUUAUAUCGCAGAACUCAGAAUUUGAGGGCCGUUUCCGUUUCUUUGUUGUUUCGGUUAAUGAAUUGUUGGUAUCGUUGGUGGUUGCGGGGAUUUUGAGGGUUCCACCAACGGAAACGGCGAUGGAGGGGACGGUCCCAGUGCCUGUAGCUUGAAUAAUGGCUUGUUCGGCGUGCUCCAGAAGCCAUCUAACGGUUUCGCCGUCUGAUUUGUGGCCUAGUUCUCUGGUAAGUUGGAAUAUCCGGGCGGCGCAUGUGGCGGGUAUUCGGAUCCUACGACCACGGCCCUCGACUUUGGUGUGGCGGUCCUUGGUGGAUGACCUUCUACUCGCUGUAACCGGCAUGGGCAGAGGGAUUGACAUUGGUAUCUGCAUCUGCAUAGACAUGGGGACGACCCCAAUAGCCGUCGGCGGCGACGGAGGAGGCUGCUUUGGGGCACGUGAUUGGGUUCUGUGAUCCGAGUCAGAGGGUGGGUCGGGGUCGGAAUCAAUGGGCUCUUCUUUGAAGGAUAUGAGCUGAAAUGCUUCCGUUUCAUCAAUUGUUGAUAUCUUCGAGAGGCCAUUGUUAUUGUCGCUGAUAUUGUUAUUGCUUUUCUUCAUGUUAACCUCUCCAACGCUUGUGCUAACAUCAGAGGUGGCUCCUUCAUCAUUUGGGUCCAUUUCAUGCUGUUGAAACGACUCCACUUUCAAAGUCAACACCAGAUGGCAAUUUGAGGCAACAAAUGGGAGACUAUCGUGUUUGUUUUCAAGGAAGAUUAAUGUAAGGUUUCCUUCAUAUAUGGGUUUGGUGCAGAGAUCAGAGGAAUUAUAAAGGAAUGAAACAUGAAAUCCACAGAAAAAGAGAAUGAGAAAGAAAAGUUUUGAAGAAAAGAGAUUAAACCCCAAAGUUC
rnacentral:misc_RNA from 1 species